rnacentral:rRNA from 1 species
GGCGAACGGGUGAGUAACGCGUGGGUAACCUGCCCCUGAACCUGGAAUAACUUCGCGAAAGCGAGGCUAAUACCGGAUAUUGUCCCAGGGACCUUGGUCCUUGUGAUGAAAGAUGACCUCUUCACGAAAGUUGUCGUUCAGAGAGGGGCCCGCGUACCAUUAGCUAGUUGGUAGGGUAAUGGCCUACCAAGGCGAGGAUGGUUAGCUGGUCUGAGAGGAUGACCAGCCACACUGGCACUGAAACACGGGCCAGACUCCUACGGGAGGCAGCAGUGAGGAAUUUUGCGCAAUAGGGGAAACCCUGACGCAGCAACGCCGCGUGAGUGAAGAAGGCCCUCGGGUCGUAAAGCUCUGUCAAGUGGGAAAAAAGCUUGCUGGUAAAUAGCCAGUAAGACUGAUGGUACCAUUGAAGGAAGCACCGGCUAACUCCGUGCCAGCAGCCGCGGUAAUACGGAGGGUGCAAGCGUUGUUCGGAAUUACUGGGCGUAAAGGGCGUGUAGGCGGUGUGGUAUGUCAGAUGUGAAAGCCCUGGGCUUAACCCA